rnacentral:rRNA from 1 species
UACAGAGGGGGCAAGCGUUAUUCGGAAUUAUUGGGCGUAAAGAGCUCGUAGGCGGUUUGUCGCGUCGGCCGUGAAAACUUGGGGCUUAACCCCAAGCCUGCGGUCGAUACGGGCAGACUUGAGUUCGGCAGGGGAGACUGGAAUUCCUGGUGUAGCGGUGAAAUGCGCAGAUAUCAGGAGGAACACCGGUGGCGAAGGCGGGUCUCUGGGCCGAUACUGACGCUGAGGAGCGAAAGCGUGGGGAGCGAACAGG